rnacentral:rRNA from 1 species
AUUCCAGCUCCAAUAGCGUAUAUUUUAGUUGUUGCAGUUAAAAAGCUCGUAGUUGAAUUUCUGGUGGGAAGAUGCGGACGGCCUCAUGGCUUGUUCCAAGUCUUCCGGCCAUCCUUGGGUGGAGCUCGUCUGGCAUUAAGUUGUCGGGCGGGGGAUGCCCAUCGUUUACUGUGAAAAAAUUAAAGUGUUCAAAGCAGACUUAUGUCGUUGAAUAUAUUAGCAUGGAAUAAUAAGAUAGGACAGCAGUGCUAUUUUGUUGGUUUGCGCACCGUUGUAAUGACGAAUAGGGACAGUUGUGGGUAUUUAUAUUCACUUGUAGGAGGUGAAAUUCUUAGAUUAAGGGAAGAUAAACUACUGCGAAAGCAUUUGCCAAGGAUGUUUUCAUCA